rnacentral:rRNA from 1 species
CCUACGUGAUGCUGCAGUGAGGAAUAUUGGUCAAUGGACGCAAGUCUGAACCAGCCAUGCCGCGUGCAGGAAGACGGCUCUAUGAGUUGUAAACUGCUUUUGUACGAGGGUAAACGCAGAUACGCGUAUCUGUCUGAAAGUAUCGUACGAAUAAGGAUCGGCUAACUCCGUGCCAGCAGCCGCGGUAAUACGGAGGAUUCAAGCGUUAUCCGGAUGUAUUGGGUUUAAAGGGUGCGUAGGCGGUCGGAUAAGUUAGAGGUGAAAUCCCGAGGCUCAACUUCGGAAUUGCAUCUGAUACUGUUCGGCUAGAGAGUAGUUGCGGUAGGCGGAAUGUAUGGUGUAGCGGUGAAAUGCUUAGAGAUCAUACAGAACACCGAUUGCGAAGGCAGCUUACCAAGCUACUUCUGACGUUGAGGCACGAAAGCGUGGGGAGCAAACAGGAUUAGAUACCCCAGUAGUC